ensembl:lncRNA SNHG16 small nucleolar RNA host gene 16
UUCUUUUCGAGGUCGGCCGCGUGGCUGGAAGACAUGGCCACUCCAGUCGGUGUUGAGCACGGCGAGCAGUCUCAGGCCUUUAGUGAUGAUGGGUGGUUAGGAGGGUUAAAAGUACUGGAUGAGAAAAUGCUUUCCAAACGUUGAGAAAAUGUUACUAUGUGAAGGGAGAGAGCUCAAGCCCGUCCUCGGCGUCAUAGGGCCGGCUUCUGCGGGGGAGAGCGCCUAACAACCUGGGCAGCCCCGUGCGCCUCCGCCGCGCGUGUGCUGAGCGUCAUGCCCAGGGGUCUUCGGUGCCCGCGCACGGGCAGACUCUGACGAUGGUGGUUCUUAAUUCAGCAUCAGGAGUGUUAACGUGUGAAGACGUGAUUCCGCUUGGAGUGUCUUGAGGACGGCCCCAAUCGGUAGUUCAUAUUUAGCUUUACAGAUAGGAGUCAAUAGGAUUGUAAACUUCUGGAAAGCCGUAGUUUUAACAACGAGCCUUUUUUCCUCCCCCAGAGGCCUUUCUUUGUUUGGCAUCUGCAGAGACGGUGAAAAGCAGAGCUCCAGGUUGAAGGAUCAGAGUAAUAGAUGGAGCCCUUAACAUGAGUAAGAGUGGGUGCAGGCAGGGCCUGAGUGGUCACUAGAAAUGAGAAAGCACAGUUGGUGCCAUCACAUACAUUCACCUCCUGCUUUAUUCUGAAGUUCAAGUAUGAGAAUACGUGUUGACAUACAAGCCAGCUAUGGUGCAGUCAGCCUCAGUUUCCAAAGCCGGAAAAGGAUCCUCUAGUAGCCACGGUGUGGCAGCUGCUCUGAACCAGGACCUGGACCCGGACCCAAAGUGCCAUGUCUUUAAUGUUAGCUCCCAGCGAUGCCAGAUGGGAUCAGCACAGCCCUGCCUCUGCUGCUAAUUGUUCCUCUAAAGUAAUCGCCAUGCGUUCUUUGGGCUUCAUCUUUAAAGGAAUGAAGCAACUGAGAUUAUUCUGGAAAACCUUUUGGCAGUUAGUGAAAUUAGAGUACAACUAAGAACAUUUUCAGACCUCCACUGUGGAUGACCUGGGUAUAAUCUCACAAAUCGAUGGGACUGCAAGGAUUGUAAACUGAAAUGAACAUGAUUAUACUCUGUUGGAAGAGCCUAAGAGGAAACUGAUGCCAUGAGUUUCAGAGAGUAAUGCUUAACCCCAGUUACACAGGAUGCCGUCUUGUGUUUCCUCUUGUUUAGUUACCCACUACAGUGAUUUUGUGAUCUGCUAAUGGGUUGCCACCCACAACCAUUGCUUUAGCACUUUUACUUCAAAUCAAUGAAGGAUUGAUAAAAGUUCUCCUGGUGUCUCCGCAGAGUGCCUUCCAGGAACAGAUCUUUGCAUAGAAUAUCAGUGGUUUCCUUUUUUGUUUCAAAUAGUGGUCAGAAAAUACCCAGUGUUGACUCACCAAGGCAAUCAGCUUCCUUUUUCCCUUUUUUUGUUUUUUUUUUAACAUUUUAUAUUUUUGCUUUAUUUUAUUUUAUUUUAUUUUAUUUUAUUUUAUUUUAUUUUAUUUUUUGAGACGGAGUUCCACUCUGUCGCCAGGCUGGAGUGAAGUGGUACAAUCUUGGCUCACUGCAACCUCCACCUCCCGGGUUCAAGCAAUUCUCCUGGCUCAGCCUCCUGAGUGCUGGGACUACAGGCGCGUACCUUCUUUAGUAGAGACUGGGUUUCACCAUGUUGGCCAGGAUGGUCUCUAUCUCCUGACCUUGUGAUCUGCCUGCCUCAGCUUCCCAAAGUGCUGAGAUGACAGGUGUGAGCCAUCAGACCCAGCAUUUUUUUUUUUAAUUUAAAUUUAAAUUUUUUUUCAUUUUUUUGAGAGGUUUUUUUUGUUUUGUUUUGUUGUUGUUGUUGUUGUUGUUUUUGAGACAGUCUUGCUCUGUCACCCAGGCUGGGAGUGCAGUGGCAUGAUCUCUGCAACCUCUACCUCCCAGGUUCAAGCAAUUCUUGUGCCUCAGCCUCCCAAGUAACUGGGACUACAGGUGCACGCUACCACACCUGGCUGAUUUUUUUUGUUUUAGUAGAGACAGGGUUUCAACCAUGUUGCCCAGGUUGGUCUCAAACUCCUGAGCUCAGGCAAUCCACCCGCCUUGGCCUCCCAAAGUGCUAGGAUUACAGGUGUGAGCCACCACACCCAGCUAUUUUUUCUUUCGUUUUUUAAUUUUAAAGUUGGGGGGGGGUCUCAAUUUGUUACCCUGGCUGGUCUCGAACUCCCGGACUUAAGCGAUCCUCUGGCUCCAAGCCCACUACCAGUCUCAGGUUUCUUUACUAAAAGAUCACUACCUUUUUUUCUCUUAUCUGCUGCCAUGUGAGAUGUGGCUUUCACCUUCCGCCAUGAUUGUGAGGCCUUCCCAGCCAUGUAGAACUGUAAGUCCAAUAAACCUCUUUUGUAAAUUAAAAAAAAAAAAUCACUAUUUAAGAUACUAGGAUGGAUUGUGACUGUUGAGGAGUACUUACAUAUCCUACAUUUGACUACAUUAUUUCCAAACCAAGUAUUCCAUCCAAAGGAACAUACUGCUAUCAUAGAGACCAAGGAGGGACUGUUUAAGGUUGCCAAGGUGAAGCGAGCUGAGAGGCUUUGUCCUCGUGCCAGUAACUCUGAAAUCUCUCUUAAUUCCUGCUGUCCAGGCAGCAGAAUGCCAUGGUUUCCCCAAGUAGGUAGCUGCUUUAGCAGUUAAAGCCCAAAUGUCUGUUCUGUUGAUCAGAGGUCUCUGAAUUUCUGAAGUGGUGUUUCGUUUCUGGUGACUGAGUUAAUCCUUUACAAUCCCUCUUGUAAAGUGUGCUAAUAGAAAGAAUCCACCUUUCAAAGCUGCAGAACCAGACCGUGCCCUAAAUUGACCAACGUAACUGAUGUGCCUCAGGAAGUCUCUUGCCAGCUGUCCCUGUGAAGACCCCCCUCCUCCCCCCCAGCUGCUGCCUUGCACACUGAAGCAUCUCAGACUGUGCAAAGCCGUGUAGUCAUCAAGACAGUAAAUCCCAGGGCUUGGUUAAGUGCUGUGUGAUAACUUGUUUGGAUGAGACUUAACUUAAAACCACUUACAAUAAACUUGGGAA